UCUUGCGCAAUGGGCGAAAGCCUGACGCAGCGACGCCGCGUGUGGGAUGAAGGCCUUCGGGUCGUAAACCACUGUCGGGAGGGACGAAAUCAAUGACGGUACCUCCAAAGGAAGCACCGGCUAACUCUGUGCCAGCAGCCGCGGUAAUACAGAGGGUGCGAGCGUUGUCCGGAAUCACUGGGCGUAAAGGGCGCGUAGGCGGCCUGAUAAGUAGGGGGUGAAAUCCUGCGGCUCAACCGCAGGGCUGCCUUCUAGACUGUCAGGCUCGAGCACAGUAGAGGCAGGUGGAAUUCCCGGUGUAGCGGUGGAAUGCGUAGAGAUCGGGAAGAACAUCGGUGGCGAAGGCGGCCUGCUGGGCUGUUGCUGACGCUGAGGCGCGACAGCGUGGGGAGCAAACAGG
rnacentral:rRNA from 1 species